CUACGGGGUGCAGCAGUGGGGAAUAUUGGACAAUGGGGGAAACCCUGAUCCAGCAAUGCCGCGUGUGUGAAGAAGGCCUGCGGGUUGUAAAGCACUUUCGGUUGGGAGGACUGCUUCUAGCACUAAUAUUGUUGGAAGUUGACGUUACCUUCAGAAGAAGCACCGGCUAACUCCGUGCCAGCAGCCGCGGUAAUACGGAGGGUGCAAGGGUUAAUCGGAAUUACUGGGCGUAAAGCGCGCGUAGGCGGCUAGAUCAGUCGGGUGUGAAAGACCCGGGCUUAACCUGGGAACUGCAUCCGAUACUGUCUAGCUUGAGUACAGGAGAGGAGAGUGGAAUUCCACAUGUAGCGGUGAAAUGCGUAGAUAUGUGGAGGAACACCAAUGGCGAAGGCAGCUCUCUGGCCUGAUACUGACGCUGAGGUGCGAAAGCGUGGGGAGCAAACAGGAUUAGAUACCCCAGUAGUC
rnacentral:rRNA from 1 species